AACGUAAGGUUCUACAUGCGAACUGGCAAUGUGGUGGUAAGCCUCACAUGAGUGUGUCAUCGGUGUGAGUUCUUGCGCCCAAUGAUCGAACGUCAUAUUCGUACGGGAGCGCGACUGUGAGUAUCUCCCACAAGGGGACCAGCGUGAGGACCACCCGCGUGGAGGAAGAGGUUCGGUCUGAAACGCUUUGUUUCUAAAAAGAACAUUAGAGAUUAUUGUUCUUCGUGGACGGUUAUUAACCGAGAAAGUCAGGCUAACUACGUGCAGCAGCCGCGGUAAUACGUAGGUGGCAAGCGUUAUCCGGAUUUAUUGGGCGUAAAGAGAGUGCAGGCGGUUUUCUAAGUCUGAUGUGAAAGCUUCGGCUUACCGGAGAAGUGCAUCGGAAACUGGAUAACUUGAGUGCAGAAGAGGGUAGUGGAACUCCAUGUGUAGCGGUGGAAUGCGUAGAUAUAUGGAAGAACACCAGUGGCGAAGGCGGCUACUGGUCUGCAACUGACGCUGAGACUCGAAAGCAUGGGUAGCGAACAGGAUUAGAUACCCUGGUAGUCCAUGCCGUAAACGAUGAGUGCUAGGUGUUGGAGGGUUUCCGCCCUUCAGUGCCGGAGCUAACGCAUUAAGCACUCCGCCUGGGGAGUACGACCGCAAGGUUGAAACUCAAAGGAAUUGACGGGGGCCCGCACAAGCGGUGGAGCAUGUGGUUUAAUUCGAAGCUACGCGAAGAACCUUACCAGGUCUUGACAUCUUGCGCCAACCCUAGAGAUAGGGCGUUUCCUUCGGGAACGCAAUGACAGGUGGUGCAUGGUCGUCGUCAGCUCGUGUCGUGAGAUGUUGGGUUAAGUCCCGCAACGAGCGCAACCCUUGUUACUAGUUGCCAGCAUUAAGUUGGGCACUCUAGUGAGACUGCCGGUGACAAACCGGAGGAAGGUGGGGACGACGUCAGAUCAUCAUGCCCCUUAUGACCUGGGCUACACACGUGCUACAAUGGACGGUACAACGAGUCGCGAACUCGCGAGGGCAAGCAAAUCUCUUAAAACCGUUCUCAGUUCGGACUGCAGGCUGCAACUCGCCUGCACGAAGUCGGAAUCGCUAGUAAUCGCGGAUCAGCAUGCCGCGGUGAAUACGUUCCCGGGCCUUGUACACACCGCCCGUCACACCAUGAGAGUUUGUAACACCCAAAGUCGGUGGGGUAACCUUUAGGAGCCAGCCGCUAAGUGACAGAUUGG
rnacentral:rRNA from 2 species